ACGCGGAAUAGCCCAAACCAUAGUGCUUGCACUGUGGGGUUGUAGGGCGGCUCUUUCGAUGUGAAUGACUAGCAGAAGAGUCUGGAAAGGCUCAUCAUAGAGGGUGAUAAUCCCGUAUGCGAAAGUUUGAAGCAUUUGAGCCGUUCCUGAGUAAGGCGGGACACGUGGAACCCUGUCUGAAUCUGGGAGGACCAUCUUCCAAGGCUAAAUACUACUUGGUAACCGAUAGUGAAUCAGUACCGUGAGGGAAAGGUGAAAAGAACCCCGUUGAGGGGAGUGAAAUAGAUCCUGAAACCGAGCGCUUACAAGCAGUCGGAGCGUAAGUGACGGCGUGCCUUUUGCAUGAGCUAGCGAGUUAACGUUGCCGGCAAGAUUAAGGACUUCAGGUCCGUAGUCGAAGCGAAAGCGAGUCUUAAUAGGGCGUAUAGUCAGUGGCGUUAGACCCGAAACUGAGUGAUCUAUCCAUGGGCAGGUUGAAGCUGGGGUAAUUCCUAGUGGAGGACCGAACCCUUGAAUGUUGAAAAAUUCUGGGAUGACCUGUGGAUAGGGGUGAAAGGCUAAUCAAACUCAGUGAUAGCUGGUUCUCGUCGAAAUAUAUUUAGGUAUAGCGUCUGAUGUUCCUUAACGGGGGUAGAGCACUGAUUGGGCUAGGGGUCCCACAAGAUUACCAAACCCACUCAAACUCCGAAUACCGUUACAGUUAAGUCAGGCAGUCAGACUGCGGGUGAGAAGGUCCGUAGUCGAGAGGGAAAGAGCCCAGACCAUCAGCUAAGGUCCCAAAGACAACACUAAGUGGAAAACGUUGUGGGAGUGCUGAGACAGCCAGGAGGUUGGCUUAGAAGCAGCCACCCUUUAAAGAAAGCGUAACAGCUCACUGGUCAAGUGCUCCUGCGCGGAAGAUGUAACGGGGCUAAGUGUUGCACCGAAGCUAUGGAUCCGUAAGGAUGGUAGACGAGUAUUGAAGUCGCCUGUGAAGGUGUGUCGUGAGGCAUGCUGGAGGUCCUUCAAGAGCUCAUGCUAGCAUAAGUAGCGAUAAGAGGAGUGAGAAACUCCUCCGCCGGAAGUCCAAGGUUUCCUGGGCCAGGGUAAUCCUCCCAGGGUUAGUCGGCACCUAAGGUGAGGCCGAAAGGCGUAAUCGAUGGAUAACAGGUUAAUAUUCCUGUACUUCAAUGUGGAGUGAUGCGGGGGCGGAGAAGGGUAGCUACGCUGGGUAAUGGAUAUCCCAGUUCAAGCCAGUAGGCUGGUGUCUUUGGAAAAUCCGGGAUGCUAAGGCUGAGAGGUGAUGAGGAGGACUUCGGUCCGGAAGGUAGUGAUCCCAUGCUCACAAGAAAAGCCGCUAAACGUUGAAUCAUUGAAACCGUACUCCAAACCAACUCAGGUGGACAGGUAGAGAAUACUAAGGCGAUUGAGUGAAACAAGGCUAAGGAACUCGGCAAAUUGACACCGUAACUUCGGGAUAAGGUGUGCCAGCAGUGUGAAGAGACUCGCUCUCGGAGCAUAGUCUGGUUGCAGAGAAGAGGGGGUAGCGACUGUUUAUCAAAAACAUAGCACUCUGCUAAAUCGCAAGAUGAUGUAUAGGGUGUGACGCCUGCCCGGUGCUGGAAGGUUAAAAGGAGGUGUUAGCAUUAGCGAAGCAUCGAAUUGAAGCCCCAGUAAACGGCGGCCGUAACAAUAACGGUCCUAAGGUAGCGAAAUUCCUUGUCGGGUAAGUUCCGACCUGCACGAAUGGCGUAACGACUUCCCCGCUGUCUCGGCCUUGUGCUCAGCGAAUUUGAAAACCGGGUGAAGAUGCCCGGUACCCGCAGCAAGACGGAAAGACCCCGUGAACCUUUACUGCAGCUUGGCAUUGGUAAUUGGGAUUAUUUGUGUAGGAUAGGUGGGAGACUUUGAAACUGGGGCGCCAGUCUCAGUGGAGUCAUCCUUGAAAUACCACCCUGAUAAUUCUGAUUACCUAACCUCGAUCCGUUAUCCGGAUUAGGGACAAUGCCUGGUGGGUAGUUUGACUGGGGCGGUCGCCUCCCAAAUAGUAACGGAGGCGCCCAAAGGUUCCCUCAGACCGAAUGGAAACCGGUCGCAGAGUGCAAAGGCAUAAGGGAGCUUAACUGCGAGACCGACAGGUCGAGCAGGUACGAAAGUAGGGCUUAGUGAUCCGGUGGUUCCGCAUGGAAGGGCCAUCGCUCAACGGAUAAAAGGUACUCCGG
rnacentral:rRNA from 1 species